rnacentral:miRNA from 1 species
UUUUGCGAAGUGUUCCUAAUAU